rnacentral:rRNA from 1 species
GUGGGGAAUAUUGGACAAUGGGCGAAAGCCUGAUCCAGCCAUGCCGCGUGUGUGAAGAAGGUCUUCGGAUUGUAAAGCACUUUAAGUUGGGAGGAAGGGCAGUAAGUUAAUACCUUGCUGUUUUGACGUUACCGACAGAAUAAGCACCGGCUAACUUCGUGCCAGCAGCCGCGGUAAUACGAAGGGUGCAAGCGUUAAUCGGAAUUACUGGACGUAAAGCGCGCGUAGGUGGUUUUGUAAGUUGGAGGUGAAAUCCCCGGGCUCAACCUGGGAACUGCCUCCAAAACUGCAUGACUAGAGUACGGUAGAGGGUAGUGGAAUUUCCUGUGUAGCGGUGAAAUGCGUAGAUAUAGGAAGGAACACCAGUGGCGAAGGCGACUACCUGGACUGAUACUGACACUGAGGUGCGAAAGCGUGGGGAGCAAACAGGAUUAGAAACCCGGGUAGUCC